UCUAUAUACGAUGUUCUUGCG
rnacentral:piRNA from 1 species